AGUGUGGGUUUGGCUGUGGGUUAGCACAGCGUGCAGAAGGGCUGAGGGAAGGCUGGCUGCAGCCCUGGCCUGCUGUGCCACUGUCACCGAGGGGGGUGGCUUUGUGCUGGAGAUGGAGAACGCAACUCCUGCAGCAGGAAGAAGAUAACAUGAAGCUGUGAUGCCUUUCUCCCUCCCAGAAAGGCUGCAGGAAGGGAGCGAGAAGGAAACCGAGAAGAGGAAGGUGAACAAAUGGCAGUGAAGGAAGCCCAGAACUUGCUUUUCCAUCUGGUGGAUGCUCACCUGACAGCUGCACAAAGCUCCUCAACCUCUGCCAGAAAUCCUCAAAGUCCAAAGGACUCAGCCUGAAUCUGCUGAACAACUUAAUGGAAUGGAUGCUGCUCUGGUGGGUGCUUUUUGCUCUCUUUGUGAGCAUGCUAAUGGAAAUUCAAUAAGAAGAUAACCUUAUUGUGAAGUUUUUAAUUAGCACUGCUUCCUUGUAAUAACGAAAUUGAGAAGGGAUUAAUCACUUGAUUUAAUUACCGAGAGAAAAGAUGGCUUCCAAUGGGAUUUCCAUCUCAUGUGUUGUGGACACUCCUCGUGCCUGGGAUCAGCCUCUCUUACACCAAGGCAUUGGUUCCCACAGGUUUGCUGCUCUCCUCUACUUUUGGCUCAGUGGAAGUUUGUUGAGCGUUGCCUACUUGGUUUGCAAGUAUCUCCAGUUUAGGGACUGGUGUCUGCUGGCCCUCGUUUGGAAAUCUCUGCAGCUGGGGCUUUGGGGUUGCUCUCGUUUUUGUGAGGUGGUGAUGAAGCCCUGCCAAGUAGAAUCAUAGAAUGGCCUGGGUUAAAAAGGACUGCAGUGAUCAUCUGGUUCCAACCAGAUGUGUGCAAGGUCUCCAACCAGCAGCCCAGGCUGCCCAGAGCCACAUCCAGCCUGGCCUUGAAUGCCUGCAGGGCUGGAGCAUCCACAGCCUCCAACAUCUCUCCUUUGGGCCUGGGCUGAACAGGGCUCCAAGCACGCAUCAACCCUCCUGUCCUUAGCAGAGCAUUUCAAAGCCUUUUCUUCCUCUCCCUUCAAAGAUACUGGGGCCAACCAGCACCUCCUUGUUCAUCCUGUCGGCCGUUGCUUUGCCAGCAGCAUCCCACAGGAUCCUUCCCAGAUCUCUCACCCCUUCCCAGCGUUGUUUAUUUAUCAGUAUCUGUGCUGGCCACGGAGAGGAGCUGUUUGGCUGCGCUCUGCCUGCUUCUGCUUCCCAGGAAAGCAGGCAAACAAACACCCGUCAUUCUGCCUCUGCAGCCUUCUUCCUGCUGGCUUUGGCCUCGUGUCCAGCCCUGAAAUGCUGUUUGUCCUCUGCACAGCAAGCCUUCAAGCAGCAGUUCUCCCUGAUCAUCCUCCACGCGUGGCCGAGUUGCAGGAAUUGCUGCAUUUCCCACAUGCUGCUCAUGCACUUCAGCUGUGGUUUUGUGUUUUGUCUCAUGUACUCCUCUUGCAGGCAGGGGCAGGCCUGAGCCUCCGCUCUCUAUCAGUGUUCCUGCUCCCUUCCUGUGGGAUGCACCAGCUCCAAUGUACCAUUUCCACCUGCAGGAGGAAGCCAGCUCAGCCAGCUGUGAUGUUCGCCCAUUCGGAGCUCCUCAUUGUUCUCAAAGCUCUGCCUCAAGAAAGCGAGUGAAGCUGGAUUUAUGAAGGAUGGAGCUCAGCAGGUGGAACCUUCUCUUUAGUUUGUAAUUCACUUCAGUUUGUGCUGGCUGAAAAUCCCAGGGCAGCCAGGCUGCAUGAAUCCCAGCUGAAUCUGCAGCAAUAACAUGGGGCAGGAGCACAGCAGCCUUCACCCCACAUUGAUCUGCAGCCUCGCGCUCCUGCUCCUUGGGUCUAAGAUGCACAGUGCAGGUUGGGCUGCAGGGCAGAUGCUGCAAGGAAAUGUUUAAAUCCAAAGCUCAAAUUUGUUCCCAAUUAGUCCUAAAAAAAACAACCAAAAACCAAACCCAACCACCACCACCCAUCAUAGCAAAUAUCCAUAGUAACAUCUCUGUUUAGCUUUGUUUUCUGACGUCACCUCGGCUCCCUGACAGCAUGCCUGAAUAUCUCCUUGUGCCUCGUGUGCUAUUGUUUGCUGAGGUUGGUUCUGCACACGUAUGCAUGAAUGCUUUGGAAAUGGCUUUGUUUUUCUGUUCUUUAGGAAUGUGUUCCAAACAAACACCCUGGAGCAGCAGCACAGAGGUUUGCUUACACUGCACUGCGUUACUCUCGGUGUCAUUUAUCACUCUCCAGGUGGAUCACCCAGUGUUGGGAAGCUCCUAGGACCUGCCAGGCACUGACACAGCUGUAGAGACGUUUCAUUCCUCUGAUUCUGCCGCCCUCAGCGAUGUUGGUUGGUGGUUUUGUCUCCUCACAGCUAUAAAGAGUGACAAAUUCAUUCACUGAGCCUGCAUGCUUGAAAGCCAAGAUAGAAAUGUGCCAGUGCAGUGGGUGGAGAGGAAUAUCCUGGCUACAAUGGAUUUACUUCUUUAGGAGAAGAAUCGCGGGUCAAAAUGAGAGACUUUUGCAAUGGGAGCCCCCUAUGGGCUCCCAGCUGUUCUAGCAGGCAGGUGAGCACAGGGUGCAGUUAUUAAUCAUUGUAUGACAGCAAUGCAAGCAAUCUUAAAAUGAGUCAUGGUUGUAGUUGUCUAGAAAUACAGAGGUUAAGUGCAGGCUUCCUCAGUAUAUACAUAUUUUAGUGUGAAUUUGAAUAGAUGGAAGACAGUAUAUCUCUUUUGAGACAUCAUUGCAGUGUGUGUGCGCUGCUGAAUGCCUGUCUGCCCUAUGAGUCUUUUCUGUGUCAAUCUCACCCGGCUCUUUUAAACACAAACAUCUUCCUGCUGCAGCAGCUGUGUACAGGGAGCACUCACACCACUCACAGAGCAGCUCAUCCUCCCCAAAAUCACACCGUUCUGCAGCCAUCAGCCCAUUGUGAGGAGCAGCAGGGCUGUGACCAGCAUGCAGCUCUGCCCAGCGCUUUGCUUCGCAGCAGCUGAGCCAUCGUCCUCCGUAAGGAGAGCAGAGCAGGCGUGAAGCAGGGGCUGUGUUUGUUUUUAUGUCCCACGCAGAGUCCUGCUGGAGAAUCUGAUCUUUGCACCGGUCCAUUUCUCUGCCCCUGUCCUCCUGCUGCACUGAUGGGGUUAACGAGACGUGGGGAUGGCUCCCAUCUAAUCACAUUUCAGCUGAGAUCAUGCUGUACUGGGAGGAAAGGCAUCGAGUUGAUUCAAUUUGCUCUGCAAUGGCACUGCAUCAGUACCAGCGUGUGCCUGGCGAUGAAGCAUUGCUUAUCAGCCUGGAAGCUCCCAAGGGAAGCAGAGAAAUGGCUCAUAGAGUGGAAAUUUAAGGUCAUCUUUUGGUAGCGUCCCACCUGGAUAGCAUCACUCUUUCCAGCAGUGUGGGGCUGUAGCUUCAGCUUUAACACUUCUUCUUUCUGCACCAGCUCCAUUCAAAGGGGGUGAGUUCGAAACGCACGGAGCUGCUUUCGUGCUGCAGAGCCUCACUGUGUCUGCUUUGCAGUUCAUCAGAGCAGCUCACAAAGUUUCCAGCAUGGAGCUGGCGUUCCCACAGGGCUUCACCCAUGCCAAGAGCCCGGAACUGUGCAGAGGGAGCAGUGCACUCCGUGCUGCCAGACACUGAUUGCUUCUCUUGGCCUCUGUUUCUGAUUUAUUUAUGUGAACUUAAUGACACCCGAGCAAGGAGCCCAGGAAGGCAUCAGAUCAAACACAGGCUGACUUCAUUGGGCUAAAAACGUCUCAGGCUUCCCAUCGUCAGCCACGUUACCCCUUGGAUCUGUGCUGACCAAGGGGACCUGCUGGAUCCUGCAGUGAAGGAGGUCGCUCCCAUGCACCCAUCAAGGCCAAAACUGUGUCUAUAAACGAUGCUCCAUUUCAGUGACGUGGCCACAAGGAAGAGGUUUUGUUGCUUCCCUUGGAAGUGGUUGAAGUUAGCAUCCAAGGACUGAAGUCAGCUGGUCUGUUUGCCUUCAGAGAGGAUGGCUUCAUCUUUCCUGAUCCUGCAGGGAGGUGCUGGAGAACCUGGAGGUGCUUGGGAACAGUGGGGAUGUGGCACUGAGGGCACAGUGGGGGUGGGUCAAUGGUUGGACUGGGUGAUCUUAGAGGUCUUUCCAACCAUAACGGUUCUGUGUUUCAGGCUUUGAGUUACAUCUGAGCUUGUCUGAAACCUCAGUUUUUCAUGGUCUUUUUUAACCUCUGUUGCAGGGGGGAAGGCCUCUUGCCCCCACCCUACUGAGGCCCUUUUCCCUAUGGAAGCUCAUAGCCCAGGAUCCUGCCUUCUGCUCAGGAGAGCCUUGGAUCUGCUUGAGCACAGGAAGGGAAGGUGCCAAGAAUGAGCUUGCAGAAAGAGAAGAUAAAUUAAUGAGCACCAUGACUGCUGGUGUCAGCAGGUACAGAACUACUGGUACCAGUGAGCAGGAAUGGAGGACUCCAUGAUCCUGAUCUCUUCCAACCCGGGAUAUUCUGUGCUUCUGUGUCUCCACGUAUUCUUCACCAUGUUCCUGCUGCCCUGAAGGCUUUGCCCUCUCUUUGCCUCCACCACCAGCCAGUCCUCCUGGUUCCCUUGGGCUGACAGUGACACGUUGUGGGUUUGCUCUUGCCAUCCCAUAUCCUCUCCCAAGCCAAGGGAAAGGAACGUGUGGAAAGGGAAAAAAAUGGGCUGCAAGCUUAGUGCUGGGACCUCGAUAAAUGCAAGUGACAUAAAUGCUGGCUGAGACACCUUCUGCCUGCUGGCUCCUCUGCUGCUAGGGAGUUAUGCUGGCUGUGAAGUGGCUUUCUGGAGCUGGUGUGGAGCCAACCUUGGAGCAAAUGCUCAGCCAGAGCCAAUUCAUUAGCAAAGGGAAGCGGCUGCAAGCCCCCCAUUUAGGCUGUGUCACUUCACAUGGCUGAAGGCAGCCCUGCUGAUGAUGUUUCAAGCCCUCUGCUGCCCCAGCAGCCCGUGGCACCACGUCAGAUUUCACUGGUCAACCCCAACCUGGUGGCCUGACAAGUUUUCCACCCACCCAGCCAUCCUGUUCUUUGUGUCUCCUGGAGCAAACCAUGCUAAAGCCACACUGAAGUCUACAGUCAUAGAAUCAUUAAGGGAAAAGACCACUAAGAUAAUCACAACCAACCCCACUCCUCCCCUUGGCUACCCACCACCUUGUUGUAGAAGGCCAUGGGGUUGCUCAGGUGUGCCAUGCCCUUGUAGGUCCUUGGUGGCCAUUCCCUGUCAUCUGCGUGUCCUCCACCUGCCCAGAAUCACCUCCCAGGAGCGUUUGCCCCACCACCUUCCUGGGGACUGAAAAGCUGCUCUCCAGAUCCUCCUCCUUACCCUGUCUGAAGUGAGAUAUGACAUUUGUCUCUUUACA